rnacentral:rRNA from 1 species
UCGAGGAUCUUCGGCAAUGUGCGAAAGCAUGACCGAGCGACGCCGCGUGUGCGACGAAGGCCUUCGGGUUGUAAACUCCUGUCACGGAUUAAGAAUGUCGUGCGGUGAAUAGUCGUACGAUUGACGUAAGUCCGAGAGGAAGCACUGGCUAACUCUGUGCCAGCAGCCGCGGUAAUACAGGGGAUGCAAGCGUUACUCGGAAUUACUGGGCGUAAAGCGUCUGCAGGUGUCUUAGGUAGUCUACGGUCAAAUGACGGAGCUCAACUCCGUCCGUGCUGUGGAAACUCCUAGGAUUGAGCCAUUCAGAGGCAUCUGGAAUGUCGUGUGGAGGGGUAAAAUCCGUAGAUCCACGAUGGAACGCCGAAAGCGAAGGCAGGAUGCUAGGAAUGUGCUGACACUGACGCUGAGGCGCGAAAGCCAGGGGAGCAAACGGGAUUAGAUACCCCUGUAGUCCCUGAGCGGGCUGGCAAGGCGCAU